rnacentral:ribozyme from 1 species
GCUGCUCGAAUAAUCACACACCUCUUCGUGGUGAGUAGCAGACAACGAUCUUAUGAUCGGCUGAAAUGUGAAC